AUGGCUAAUCUGAAGAAUCUCACUAGAUGGAGACUCUACUAAAGAGUACCACUGGACAGAGACUCUGCUGAAGAGUCCCAUUAGACUUGGACUCUAUCAUUAAUGAAAGAUUAAUAAGUAAUUAGAUCACUAAUUAGCUUAAUUUGAUUGAGCAUUAAAGUCUGGAUCAAGUUUGAUUGAAUUGGAUUCAAUCAGAUCA
rnacentral:lncRNA from 1 species